AUUCGGUAGUUAGAUUCAUUGAUCCGUUCUAACUGGUUAAGUUCGUACCGCCGUUAACAUCAAAGAUAAUCGUUUAGUAAUACCUUGUAACUCGGCACAUCAAAGCGAAAGUUGUAGGAACUCGCGCAAAAACAAUGAAGUUUGCUCUAUUGCUGGUUGUAGUCGCCCUUAUCGCUGUGGCUUAUGUCUCGGCCGACGAAAACACGGAGGAUCGAUUCUAUGACAUGGUGGAUCGCGUUGACCGUGCCAUCAGGAACCGACGCCAAAGCGUGAAUGGUAACCAGAAGUUCGAUUUGGACUUUGAGAAGCUGAUCAAUUUGGUGAAGUCGAUGCAAAGCGAAGGUUGA